rnacentral:rRNA from 2 species
GGCGAACUGGUGAGUAACACGUGGGAAACCUGCCCAGAAGCGGGGGAUAACACCUGGAAACAGAUGCUAAUACCGCAUAACAACUUGGACCGCAUGGUCCGAGCUUGAAAGAUGGCUUCGGCUAUCACUUUUGGAUGGUCCCGCGGCGUAUUAGCUAGAUGGUGGGGUAACGGCUCACCAUGGCAAUGAUACGUAGCCGACCUGAGAGGGUAAUCGGCCACAUUGGGACUGAGACACGGCCCAAACUCCUACGGGAGGCAGCAGUAGGGAAUCUUCCACAAUGGACGAAAGUCUGAUGGAGCAACGCCGCGUGAGUGAAGAAGGGUUUCGGCUCGUAAAACUCUGUUGUUAAAGAAGAACAUAUCUGAGAGUAACUGUUCAGGUAUUGACGGUAUUUAACCAGAAAGCCACGGCUAACUACGUGCCAGCAGCCGCGGUAAUACGUAGGUGGCAAGCGUUGUCCGGAUUUAUUGGGCGUAAAGCGAGCGCAGGCGGUUUUUUAAGUCUGAUGUGAAAGCCUUCGGCUCAACCGAAGAAGUGCAUCGGAAACUGGGAAACUUGAGUGCAGAAGAGGACAGUGGAACUCCAUGUGUAGCGGUGAAAUGCGUAGAUAUAUGGAAGAACACCAGUGGCGAAGGCGGCUGUCUGGUCUGUAACUGACGCUGAGGCUCGAAAGUAUGGGUAGCAAACAGGAUUAGAUACCCUGGUAGUCCAUACCGUAAACGAUGAAUGCUAAGUGUUGGAGGGUUUCCGCCCUUCAGUGCUGCAGCUAACGCAUUAAGCAUUCCGCCUGGGGAGUACGGCCGCAAGGCUGAAACUCAAAGGAAUUGACGGGGGCCCGCACAAGCGGUGGAGCAUGUGGUUUAAUUCGAAGCUACGCGAAGAACCUUACCAGGUCUUGACAUACUAUGCAAAUCUAAGAGAUUAGACGUUCCCUUCGGGGACAUGGAUACAGGUGGUGCAUGGUUGUCGUCAGCUCGUGUCGUGAGAUGUUGGGUUAAGUCCCGCAACGAGCGCAACCCUUAUUAUCAGUUGCCAGCAUUAAGUUGGGCACUCUGGUGAGACUGCCGGUGACAAACCGGAGGAAGGUGGGGAUGACGUCAAAUCAUCAUGCCCCUUAUGACCUGGGCUACACACGUGCUACAAUGGAUGGUACAACGAGUUGCGAACUCGCGAGAGUAAGCUAAUCUCUUAAAGCCAUUCUCAGUUCGGAUUGUAGGCUGCAACUCGCCUACAUGAAGUCGGAAUCGCUAGUAAUCGCGGAUCAGCAUGCCGCGGUGAAUACGUUCCCGGGCCUUGUACACACCGCCCGUCACACCAUGAGAGUUUGUAACACCCAAAGUCGGUGGG